rnacentral:rRNA from 1 species
CCUACGGGUGGCAGCAGUGGGGGAUAUUGCACAAUGGGGGAAACCCUGAUGCAGCGACGCCGCGUGAGUGAAGAAGUAUUUCGGUAUGUAAAGCUCUAUCAGCAGGGGAGAAAAUGACAGUACCUGACCAAGAAGCCCCGUGUAACUACGUGCCCGCAGCCGCGGUAAUACGUAGGGGGCAAGCGUUAUCCGGAUUUACUGGGGGUAAAGGGAGCGUAGGCGGGUAUGUAAGUCUGGAGUGAAAACCCGGGGCCCAACCCCGGGACUGCUUUUGAAACUGUGUAACUGGAGUACAGGAGGGGUAGGCGGAAUGCCGGGUGUAGCGGUGAAAUGCGUAGAUAUCAGGAGGAACACCGGCGGCGAAGGCGGCCUGCUGGACUGAAACUGACGUUGAGGCUCGAAAGCGUGGGGAGCAAACAGGAUUAGAUACCCCUGUAGUC